rnacentral:rRNA from 1 species
GAUGAACGCUAGCGGCAGGCUUAACACAUGCAAGUCGAGGGGUAUAGUUCUUCGGAGCUAGAGACCGGCGCACGGGUGCGUAACGCGUAUGCAAUCUACCUUUUGCAGAGGGAUAGCCCAGAGAAAUUUGGAUUAAUACCUCAUGGUAUGUGAGAAUGGCAUCAUUUUCACAUUAAAGUCACAACGGCAAAAGAUGAGCAUGCGUCCCAUUAGCUAGUUGGUAAGGUAACGGCUUACCAAGGCAACGAUGGGUAGGGGUCCUGAGAGGGAGAUCCCCCACACUGGUACUGAGACACGGACCAGAAUCCUAGGGGAGGCAGCAGUGAGGAAUAUUGGACAAUGGGCGCAAGCCUGAUCCAGCCAUGCCGCGUGCAGGAUGACGGUCCUAUGGAUUGUAAACUGCUUUUGUACAGGAAGAAACACCGGUUCGUGAACCAGCUUGACGGUACUGUAAGAAUAAGGAUCGGCUAACUCCGUGCCAGCCGCCGCCGUAAUAC